CUACGGGAUGCAGCAGCGGGGAAUAUUGCACAAUGGGCGCAAGCCUGAUGCAGCCAUGCCGCGUGUAUGAAGAUGGCCUUCGGGUUGUAAAGUACUUUCAGCGGGGAGGAAGGGAGUAAAGUUAAUACCUUUGCUCAUUGACGUUACCCGCAGAAGAAGCACCGGCUAACUCCGUGCCAGCAGCCGCGGUAAUACGGAGGGUGCAAGCGUUAAUCGGAAUUACUGGGCGUAAAGCGCACGCAGGCGGUUUGUUAAGUCAGAUGUGAAAUCCCCGGGCUCAACCUGGGAACUGCAUCUGAUACUGGCAAGCUUGAGUCUCGUAGAGGGGGGUAGAAUUCCAGGUGUAGCGGUGAAAUGCGUAGAGAUCUGGAGGAAUACCGGUGGCGAAGGCGGCCCCCUGGACGAAGACUGACGCUCAGGUGCGAAAGCGUGGGGAGCAAACAGGAUUAGAUACCCUCGUAGUC
rnacentral:rRNA from 1 species